UUCGCGCUUUUCUCGAAUCCAAGCGCCUGCAGCUUCUCUGCGAUCGCUGCCAAUAUUUUCAAGUUCCUCUUAGCACGGCGAAGGUCCCUCAAAUGUUCCUCCCAAAGGCGUAUGAGCGCUCGCGUCUCUGCGUCGGUACACGUUGUCUUCGUGGAAGUGGCACUCGUGGUACACGCUAUCGCAAAUGACUAGAGAAUGACUGAACUACACAUGCGCAAGGAAGUAAACAAAGCGACGGAUGCGGCCAUUGCAC
rnacentral:lncRNA from 1 species